rnacentral:rRNA from 1 species
GACGAACGCUGGCGGAGUGCCUAAUACAUGCAAGUUGAGCGCUGAAGGUUGGUACUUGUACCAACUGGAUGAGCAGCGAACGGGUGAGUAACGCGUGGGGAAUCUGCCUUUGAGCGGGGGACAACAUUUGGAAACGAAUGCUAAUACCGCAUAAAAACUUUAAACACAAGUUUUAAGUUUGAAAGAUGCAAUUGCAUCACUCAAAGAUGAUCCCGCGUUGUAUUAGCUAGUUGGUGAGGUAAAGGCUCACCAAGGCGAUGAUACAUAGCCGACCUGAGAGGGUGAUCGGCCACAUUGGGACUGAGACACGGCCCAAACUCCUACGGGAGGCAGCAGUAGGGAAUCUUCGGCAAUGGACGAAAGUCUGACCGAGCAACGCCGCGUGAGUGAAGAAGGUUUUCGGAUCGUAAAACUCUGUUGGUAGAGAAGAACGUUGGUGAGAGUGGAAAGCUCAUCAAGUGACGGUAACUACCCAGAAAGGGACGGCUAACUACGUG